rnacentral:rRNA from 1 species
UACGUAGGUGGCAAGCGUUGUCCGGAUUCAUUGGGCGUAAAGGGUGCGUAGGCGGUCUGCUAAGUUUGGUGUGAAAUCCCGGGGCUCAACCCUGGAAUUGCAUUGAAUACUGGUGGACUAGAGUACUGGAGAGGAAACUGGAAUUUACGGUGUAGCAGUGAAAUGCGUAGAGAUCGUAAGGAAGACCAGUGGCGAAGGCGAGUUUCUGGACAGUAACUGACGCUGAGGCACGAAGGCCAGGGGAGCAAACGGG